rnacentral:rRNA from 1 species
AUGGUGUCGUGGAGCGACGAGACCAAUGAGGAUUCAGUCCUGAAAAUCUCCUCCUGCGAUGGCAUCAUCAAGCUUCCAGCUACGAUGCACGAUCCAAAUUUUAAUGGUACUGACGCAGAUGUGAAUGUCUUGUGUGAACACGACUCAAUGGAGAAGGCAUUGGCCAAGCUAUGGGAUAUGUAUGGGGAGACUAAGUCAGCUAGGACCAAUGACAAUCUAGAGAGUUCCUUUGCAAUUCACAACCUGACAAAAGAGAAGAAGAAACUACAGGAGAACUAUGACAGUUUGUAUGCUGAUGUGAAUGCUUUUUUGGAUGCCCAGCAGGAGAGGGGUGUGGAGUUAACCAAUCAAAAGGAGCAAAAGCAACAUCUUGAAGUGAAGAUUGCUGAGCUUGAAACUGUAGUUGGCAACUUGAAGGUAGAGUUGUCAAAGAAAGAGGAGAAGAAGAAACUACAGGAGAACUAUGAUAGUUUGUACGUUGAUGUGAAUUCUCUCUUGGAUGCCUAG